rnacentral:rRNA from 1 species
GCGGAGGAAAAGAAACUAACAAGGAUUCCCCUAGUAACUGCGAGUGAAGCGGGAAAAGCUCAAAUUUAAAAUCCCUCGGGAAUUGUAAUCUAGAGAAGUGUUUUCGGUCGUUGCCUCGGACAAGUCCUUUGGAACAAGGCGUCAUAGAGGGUGAGAAUCCCGUCCUUGCCGAGCUACCAACGUCUAUGUGAUACACUCUCGAAGAGUCGAGUUGUUUGGGAAUGCAGCUCAAAACGGGUGGUAAACUCCAUCUAAAGCUAAAUAUUGGCGAGAGACCGAUAGCGAACAAGUACCGUGAGGGAAAGAUGAAAAGCACUUUGGACAGAGAGUUAAACAGUACGUGAAAUUGUUGAAAGGGAAACGCUUGAAGUCAGUCGCGUUGCAGGGACUCAGCCGCAAGGUGCAUUUCUCGGUGACGGGUCAACAUCAGUUUCGAGCGCGGGAAAAGGGCUUGGGGAAUGUGGCAGCCUCGGCUGUGUUAUAGCCCCCUGUCGUACACCGCGCCCGGGACUGAGGACCGCUAAUAGGAUGUUGACGUAAUGGCUUUAAGCGACCCGUCUU